ACUCCUACGGGAGGCAGCAGUGGGGAAUAUUGCACAAUGGGCGCAAGCCUGAUGCAGCCAUGCCGCGUGUGUGAAGAAGGCCUUCGGGUUGUAAAGCACUUUCAGUUGUGAGGAAAGGUUAGUCGCUAAUAUCGGCUAGCUGUGACGUUAGCAACAGAAGAAGCACCGGCUAACUCCGUGCCAGCAGCCGCGGUAAUACGGAGGGUGCAAGCGUUAAUCGGAAUUACUGGGCGUAAAGCGUGCGCAGGCGGUCUGUUAAGCGAGAUGUGAAAGCCCCGGGCUCAACCUCGGAAUUGCAUUUGAAACUGGCAGACUAGAGUACUGUAGAGGGGGGUAGAAUUCCAGGUGUAGCGGUGAAAUGCGUAGAGAUCUGGAGGAAUACCGGUGGCGAAGGCGGCCCCCUGGACAAAGACUGACGCUCAGGCACGAAAGCGUGGGGAGCAAACAGGAUUNGAUACCCUGGUAGGCUCU
rnacentral:rRNA from 1 species